rnacentral:tRNA from 1 species
GUAUAAAAAGCGAAAAAUUGCAUUCGGUUUCGGCCCGUACUUUGGGGGUGUAGAGUCCCUCUUUAUACU